GACGAACGCUGGCGGCGUGCCUAAUACAUGCAAGUCGAGCGCUGAAGGUUGGUACUUGUACCGACUGGAUGAGCAGCGAACGGGUGAGUAACGCGUGGGGAAUCUGCCUUUGAGCGGGGGACAACAUUUGGAAACGAAUGCUAAUACCGCAUAAAAACUUUAAACACAAGUUUUAAGUUUGAAAGAUGCAAUUGCAUCACUCAAAGAUGAUCCCGCGUUGUAUUAGCCAGUUGGUGAGGUAAGGGCUCACCAAGGCGAUGAUACAUAGCCGACCUGAGAGGGUGAUCGGCCACAUUGGGACUGAGACACGGCCCAAACUCCUACGGGAGGCAGCAGUAGGGGAUCUUCGGCAAUGGACGAAAGUCUGACCGAGCAACGCCGCGUGAGUGAAGAAGGUUUUCGGAUCGUAAAACUCUGUUGGUAGAGAAGAACGUUGGUGAGAGUGGAAAGCUCAUCAAGUGACGGUAACUACCCAGAAAGGGACGGCUAACUACGUGCCAGCAGCCGCGGUAAUACGUAGGUCCCGAGCGUUGUCCGGAUUUAUUGGGCGUAAAGCGAGCGCAGGUGGUCUAUUAAGUCUGGUGUAAAAGGCAGUGGCUCAACCAUUGUAUGCAUUGGAAACUGGUGGACUUGAGUGCAGGAGAGGAGAGUGGAAUUCCAUGUGUAGCGGUGAAAUGCGUAGAUAUAUGGAGGAACACCGGUGGCGAAAGCGGCUCUCUGGCCUGUAACUGACACUGAGGCUCGAAAGCGUGGGGAGCAAACAGGAUUAGAUACCCUGGUAGUCCACGCCGUAAACGAUGAGUGCUAGAUGUAGGGAGCUAUAAGUUCUCUGUAUCGCAGCUAACGCAAUAAGCACUCCGCCUGGGGAGUACGACCGCAAGGUUGAAACUCAAAGGAAUUGACGGGGGCCCGCACAAGCGGUGGAGCAUGUGGUUUAAUUCGAAGCAACGCGAAGAACCUUACCAGGUCUUGACAUACUCGUGCUAUUCCUAGAGAUAGGAAGUUCCUUCGGGACACGGGAUACAGGUGGUGCAUGGUUGUCGUCAGCUCGUGUCGUGAGAUGUUGGGUUAGGUCCCGCAACGAGCGCAACCCCUAUUGUUAGUUGCCAUCAUUAAGUUGGGCACUCUAACGAGACUGCCGGUGAUAAACCGGAGGAAGGUGGGGAUGACGUCAAAUCAUCAUGCCCCUUAUGACCUGGGCUACACACGUGCUACAAUGGAUGGUACAACGAGUCGCGAGACAGUGAUGUUUAGCUAAUCUCUUAAAACCAUUCUCAGUUCGGAUUGUAGGCUGCAACUCGCCUACAUGAAGUCGGAAUCGCUAGUGAUCGCGGAUCAGCACGCCGCGGUGAAUACGUUCCCGGGCCU
rnacentral:rRNA from 1 species